rnacentral:rRNA from 1 species
CCUACGGGAGGCAGCAGUGGGGAAUAUUGCACAAUGGGGGAAACCCUGAUGCAGCGACGCCGCGUGAGUGAAGAAGUAAUUCGUUAUGUAAAGCUCUAUCAGCAGGGAAGAAAAUGACGGUACCUGAGUAAGAAGCCCCGGAUAAAUACGUGACAGCAGCCGCGGUAAUACGGAGGGGGCAAGCGUUAUCCGGAUUUACUGGGUGUAAGGGGAGCGUAGACGGCAGUGCAAGUCUGGAGUGAAAGGCGGGGGCUCAACCCCCGAACUGCUCUGGAAACUGUACGGCUGGAGUGCAGGAGAGGUAAGUGGAAUGCGUAGUGUAGCGGUGAAAUGCGUAGAUAUCAGGAGGAACACCGAUGGCGAAGGCAGCUUACUGGACUGUAACUGACGUUGAGGCUCGAAAGCGUGGGGAGCAAACAGGAUUAGAUACCCGAGUAGUC